UACGAAGGGGGCUAGCGUUGCUCGGAAUCACUGGGCGUAAAGGGCGCGUAGGCGGCUCGCCAAGUCAGGGGUGAAAUACUUCAGCUUAACUGGAGAAGUGCCCUUGAUACUGGCGGGCUCGAGGGAGGUAGGGGCAUGUGGAACUUCUGGUGGAGCGGUGAAAUGCGUUGAUAUCAGAAGGAACGCCGGUGGCGAAAGCGACGUGCUGGACCUCUUCUGACGCUGAGGCGCGAAAGCUAGGGGAGCAAACGGG
rnacentral:rRNA from 1 species